rnacentral:rRNA from 1 species
CAACUUGAGAGUUUGAUCCUGGCUCAGAGCGAACGCUGGCGGCAGGCUUAACACAUGCAAGUCGAACGGGCGUAGCAAUACGUCAGUGGCAGACGGG